UCCGUAGGGGGCUAGCGUUGUCCGGAAUCAUUGGGCGUAAAGCGCGCGUAGGCGGCCCGGUAAGUCCGCUGUAAAAGUCAAAGGCUCAACCUUUGAAUGUCAGUGGAUACUGCCGGGCUAGAGUCCGGAAGAGGCGAGUGGAACUCCUGGUGUAGCGGUGGAAUGCGCAGAUAUCAGGAAGAACACCGACGGCGAAGGCAGCUCGCUGGGACGGUACUGACGCUGAGACGCGAAAGCGUGGGGAGCGAACAGG
rnacentral:rRNA from 1 species